rnacentral:sRNA from 1 species
AAAAAAGAUGGCUAUCCCCGCGGCGACAAGCUGCCUUGGGGGAAUUUGUUGCCUUGGGGGACAAUUGAAAAUUGAGAUACAUGUCUGAGUUUCAGAUCUCUUACACAUGUUUCAACCACUGUGAUACUCAACACUCCCACUCAAUAGCAAUCAUCAAGGUUGUCAGUGAUCAUUCAUCACAGUCAUAACAGGCCUCACUAAAAUCUUCUUCAAAAGGAAAAACCUUCUACAAAGGAAAAACUUAAGAAUGAAGAAAAGAAUAUUUAUAUAUUUCAUUUCUGUUUUAAGAUUCAUACACUGCA